AGAACUAUUUUAUUUUCGCGAACCUUCUUCAUCUCUCCUUCUUUAUCUCUCCUAAUAGAUCUUCUCAUGAACCUAUAGAUCGGAUGAUCUUUAUCAGAGACGAUGAUUUUAAGCUUGAUAAAUCAACAACCCUCUUCUAUUUAGCUAUCUGCUCUAUCAGUCUCUUUAAAAAAAAAUUGGUGUUCCUGCUUCUACCGUCUACAUCUUCUUCUGCUUGAAAAAAAUUCCUUCACAAGAGACCCACAUCCCCUUUUCUUCACAAUCAGAAAACCUUAUUUUUGAUUUUUAUCAUCGCAAUCGGAAAUCCCUAACUUUCUCUCUCGAAAAUCAAAAGAUUUGGGUUUGAUGUUGAAGUUGUCUCUGACAAGGGCAUCAGAUCCAGCUCAUAUAAGAGUUAAAGAAAGUCCUCUUAGUUCUGAUGCCAUCUUCAGACAGCUAGAAUGAGUUUCAAAGAAAGCUAUUCAGUUUCAUACUUUCAUGGUGUUAUUCUGUUAUUGGAGAAAAUUUUGCCUCGACUCAGCACUGCAAGGAAACUUCAGUAUCUGAUAAAUUUCAUGUAUGCAGCCACACCUGAAAUAUGAGGGCAAUAUGCCAACAUAUGGAGCUGCUAAGUCUGGAUGAUAAGAAACAAUGGUCAUACUUACAUGCUUCCAUGUUGAAUGUAUAAGAAACAAUGGUCAUACUUACAUGAAGCUUGUAAUACUUCUCAAACUUGUCCAACAGAGUUGUUUAUCAAGAGCAAAGAUCGUACCUGCAAAAUAAAAUAUGGGCUAGGGUUUAUUGAUUAUACCUAUUAUGGAUUCAGAGAAACGAAAAGAUAAAAAUAAAAAGGUUAGGGAUAACCAAGAGCAAAUAUUGUACCUGCAAAAUAAAACAUGGGUUAGGGUUUAUUGAUUUUAUCUACAAAACAAAGCAUGGGUUAAGGUUUAUUGAUUCAUAGAAACGAAGAGAUAGAAAAGAAAAAAAAAAGGGUUAGGGUUUACGAAGAGCAAAGAUUGGACCUGCAAAAUAAAAUAAGGGUUUAUUAAUUUUACCUGCAAAACAAAACAUGGGUUAAGGUUUAUCGAUUUAGAGAAACAAAAAGAGACAGAAAAAAAACAAAUUAGGGUUUACCAAGAGCGAAGAUUGUACCUGUAAAAUAUAACUUGAGUUAAGAGAGAACGCCUUCUUCUGUAAAAGAUAAAGCCUUUG